rnacentral:piRNA from 1 species
UACUGACUUUAGUGCCUAAACCUUUUUGGAA